AGAGUUUGAUCAUGGCUCAGGACGAACGCUGGCGGCGUGCCUAAUACAUGCAAGUCGAGCGAACAGAAAAGGAGCUUGCUCCUUUGACGUUAGCGGCGGACGGGUGAGUAACACGUGGGCAACCUACCCUAUAGUUUGGGAUAACUCCGGGAAACCGGGGCUAAUACCGAAUAAUCUCUUUUGCUUCAUGGCAAAAGACUGAAAGACGGUUUCGGCUGUCGCUAUAGGAUGGGCCCGCGGCGCAUUAGCUAGUUGGUGAGGUAACGGCUCACCAAGGCGACGAUGCGUAGCCGACCUGAGAGGGUGAUCGGCCACACUGGGACUGAGACACGGCCCAGACUCCUACGGGAGGCAGCAGUAGGGAAUCUUCCACAAUGGGCGAAAGC
rnacentral:rRNA from 1 species